rnacentral:rRNA from 1 species
CCUACAGGAGGCAGCAGUGGGGAAUAUUGGACAAUGGGGGGAACCCUGAUCCAGCCAUGCCGCGUGUGUGAAGAAGGCCCUCGGGUUGUAAAGCACUUUCAGUGAGGAAGAACGCCUGGUGGUUAAUACCCAUCAGGAAAGACAUCACUCACAGAAGAAGCACCGGCUAACUCCGUGCCAGCAGCCGCGGUAAUACGGAGGGUGCGAGCGUUAAUCGGAAUUACUGGGCGUAAAGCGCGCGUAGGUGGCUUGAUAAGCCGGUUGUGAAAGCCCCGGGCUCAACCUGGGAACGGCAUCCGGAACUGUCAAGCUAGAGUGCAGGAGAGGAAGGUAGAAUUCCCGGUGUAGCGGUGAAAUGCGUAGAGAUCGGGAGGAAUACCAGUGGCGAAAGCGGCCUUCUGGACUGACACUGACACUGAGGUGCGAAAGCGUGGGUAGCAAACAGGAUUAGAUACCCUAGUAGUC